CAGAAGGUGAGUGGAAUAGGUCAUGGCUUCUCUCUUUCCACCAGAAGAUCUGGAACACAUGGGAGGCAUGGGUUCGAUCCCAAGUCCAACCUAACGGCCGUGAAUGACAGCACAUCCUGUACCCGUGCCACGGAGGGAGGCUGAGGCAGGAGGAUUAUGACAUGAUAAUUCCUGUGGUUGCCCGUGGUUUGAAGAAGUGAGUUGAUUCCAUACAUAUGUCUGCUUCUAUAAGG